AACAGAGCUUUCGUGCAAAAGCAGGUAACAGAGAGAAGAGGAUGAGGUGUAACAUGGAUUGUGAGGAAAAUCACCUAAGGAAGAAUCAAAUUUGAGUUUGAUUUGUUUUUUUUUUUUACCUAAUUGAGUAGGUUUGAAAUUCAGCAACAAAAAGAAAUUAAAUGGGAAAAAUAAUAAUUAAAAAAAUUAUAAUAAAAAAAUCGAAGAGAAGAAAACAAACAAACAAACUUCGUUCUGCGUCGCCGGCUUCCCCCAGCCUGCCAAAGGGUUUUGAAUUAGCUAUGUGUCAGUGAUUACGCAGGUCGAGGUCGUUUAUCUCCUUUAACAGGUCAUCGGGUCAUUUUGCUCGCAAAGUGAAAAACGCACUGCACAUUUUUAAAAAAUUAUUUUUUACUGGUCGACCCUUUGCCUCUCCGCGAGUUCCAGCAGUUUAUGUGACUUUCCGUGCAGCUUCACCGACACACGACACUGGCCGGCUGCCGGCUGCUGCAUUGCCUGCAUUUUUAUUAUUUUUUUUUUUCCUGGAGUGCACCAUUUUCCAUUUCCUUUAUUUCCUCUGGAACUUCCCUCCCUAAAGGUGAAGAAGCUGCAAGUCUGCAUCUCCCCAGCACCUACCCCCCCCCCCCUGCACCCCCUCACUCACACACACACGCAGGCACACACACACACACAGGCGCACACACACACGCUCGCGCGAGCGGCUCCUCGCUCACCCCCGCCGUCAUCUGGAGGAGAGCUGAUUCAGCGAAUCGAACAUGCAGCACGGGCACCAUGGCUGCUGCAGCUGGAGCACGCUCUAGGUCACCGCUGCUCCCUCUGAAGCAGCAAGGAGGAGACGAGGAGAGCCGCGCGUGGAUGGUAGCGGGAACAGGGAGGAGGCUGCAAAAACCCUCGAACGGUGUGCCGGGAGACAGGCGCAGAGAGGAGGAGGAGAGAGACCGAGGAGGAAGGAGGUGAGCACGUCCCGAGAGCGGCAUACGUCCGUUUGUGUGGCACAGGCGGCAGAAUCAAGUUUGGAGACGACGGGGAGCCCUAAAGUGAGAGCGAGGUCAAGGAGACAAUGGCGGAAAGGGAAGAGAUUUUGCCCUAUUUUUACUAGCCAGUAACCUUUACUGAAGAGUACAAGGACAAGCGAAUCAUCCUGCUUUAUAUCCCAGCUUGUUCUGCUGCCCUGCACCCAGUCAGUUCUCUGCUCCUUGAAGUCCGGGCCGGGAUCUCUGGCAGCAUCAGCGGCGGUCAGCAUGGUAUGGACUGUGUCACGUUUAAAAUAUUCUAGCCGGGCUAGUUGCUUUGGUCAGGAGGGUGGCUUUGGAGCUAAAAGGCGCUGCUUUUAUCGUUUGGCUUGCAAAGGUGCUGUAGUACGCAUCGAGCCACCUGCUCGGCUUUUAAUAGUGAGAGAGAAAAGGCAGCGAUGCUGGCCUUGCAGCUAACUCUGCAGCAAAGCUCCUCAUUCAUUUUUAUCGCUCUCCUAAUGCCACUCACCGGACCACGGCAACGUGUGCGUGAACUGUACACCUUGUCUUCCUGGAGCACAUACUUCUUUAUGUACCCAUAUGGACAUAUGAUAGCUAUGGAAUGUAAAGAAGUAUGUAUUUCUGGUCAGGCAUCAAGCAUCACGAAGUAGAGGUCAGCAUACCUUUGGCUGAUUAACACGUCGUUGCCGCUGUCAUUCUGUUGACUUUCCAGUUCUGUGUGGAUUGCAUGUUUUAAGAAGGCUGUUUGCUCGUGGACCGUCUCCCCGUGUUUGGAACGGCUCGGAGUUUCUUGCGACUAAUUUUACUGCGUGGUUGUUGUAGCUUAGCGCUGGAUGGCAUAUGAGGUCCCUCCGGGAGCCGUUCGGAACGGCAAGUGUUAUGGGAUGUGCGACAGUGAAUGGGUCCGCUCUUAUCUGGGGUGUGGAAAAAGUUUGCGAGGUCCCCAAAUCCCAGCAACAACCCGGACUGUUACUGAUGAGAGCAUGACGACAUUGACAACAGUGGUGCAGUUGCAGUACUACUUUGUCAAGGCAUGACUUUAUCAAUUACACUGGAGUACAGCUCUGGACAGGCACUGCUGCCACCAUUGAUGGAUUCUGCUGCAUUACCGUUUACACCUGAAUCUGAGCCAGCUGCAAAUUAGCGGUUAAUUUUGCAGAAAUAUAAUCAUGCCAAAGGUGUUUUUUGGCGAUUAAUGCUAUAAUCCUUUUCAAGGGAUCAACCACUUUGAGUAAAAAACAAAGAGCCAACCCAGGAAGUGUGGGGGAGGUCUUGAGAAUAGACCCAGAGGGGUGUCAAUUUGACACGUAGGGCUGGAUUGAAUGUCUGCUUGUUGCUGAGACAAGGGUUUGAGGGUGGCCAUUUGCUCCUGCUAUUUAAAGAUCUGGCAUCUCCACCGUUCUAGAUCAUAUGGCUUGUCAGUUAAAAUCCACUUCCCCUCACCCUCCCUCUCUCCCGUCCUCUGUUUCUUUCUCUCAAACCCCCCUUCCACCCCCACUCCCGCCCCGAAUUCCCCCCCCCCCCAUUGUUCAUAUUUGCUAUGCUUGCCAAAUGCUUUUCUGGACUGGAAGGCGGUCAGAUUAGGGCAUGGAAACCUGACAAUGCGGAGCUUUCUGGAUGAGGCCUAGUCGUCAGCUGACGACUUCAAAGCAUAAAAGACGGGCUGGUGAUGAAUGGACGUCAGUCCCGCUCCCCUUCACCUCUCCUUUAUGUCCUGCUUUCGUUCUCUCUCUUUUUCCUCCCCCACCCUUGUUCUCAAUUCCGGUAGCUGUCUCUUCAUUUUCCACCAUCAGUUUACAUUUUGCACAGAACGUAGCAAUUAGCUUAGCGGGAACGUAAAGGCAAAAUGCCCCCAAAACGGACGUGGUGUGACCUUGCGGGGGGCGUCCUGCGUGCGCGUGUCACAGCCAGGGUGACGCCAUGGUUUCCCGGCUCGCUAUCUGAUCCACUCCCACGACGGACCCCUCGCUUUCAUGAUGCCGUGUGUCGUGUUGGUCUUGCUGCAUUUCGGUGUCGACCUGUGGUGUCGUCUGCCAGAUAUACGCCACCAUAUGCUGCGUUAAAAGUGUUGCAAGUAAAAACUAUACUGCACCCAGUCCUAUGCGAGUCAGAACGUGAAUGAAGCCAAAAUUACCUAAUAAGUCAAAUCUGUACAUAAAAUAAUGAUAAAAAUAAUAAUUAUUAUUAUUGCUACUUUUAAUAAUACUCAUUAUUGUUGUUAUUCUUGCUUUUAAUAAACUUCCACCUUGUCCAAUGCAAGUCAAAAUGUAAAUGAAGCCAAAAUGUUCUUAAUAUGUGAAAUCAGCCCAUAAAACAGUUCAUAAUAAAAAUAGUAAUAAUACUAAUAUUAA